UCCAUCAGAUAGCUCAACUGGUAGAGCAUGAGACCCUUUCAUCUCAAGGUUGUGGGUUUGAGCCCCACAUAGGGUGAAA